CUCAAAAAAGGAAAAAAGAAAGAAAGAAAAAAAAAUUAAUAUAUAGCUCUGAUAAUACAAUCUCAGUAAUAAACCAUUUGAUUUAUUUCCAAUGUUAUUGCUGUUUCCUGGAACAAUGAGUGUGGUUCGAUUUUAUUUUUAUUUUUUAGUUGUGGACAAGGUCUCCAUUGUCUAAGCCACUGUGAGAAUUCAGGUAAAUCAUGGCCCAUCCUGGGACAGUUCCUCCACAUUCUUGCUACUCAAAGUGUGCUUCAUGGACUAGUGGCUUCAGCCUCACCCAGGAACGUGUUAGAAACACAGAAUCGUGUCACCGCCCCAGACCUCCUGAUGCAGAAUCUUCAUUUUAGUAAGCGACCCACUGCCCCCGCGCCCCCUGAUGAUUUGGGUGCUCAUUAAAGUUUGAGAAGCACUGUUGGAGCUUGCCCUGAAGUUGUAGUGCGCUCUUACGGAUUUCAAACCAAAAAGCAUUACCUCUGUGAAGCCAGUCUGGAGCCUGGCUAGACCUUCUCCACCACCUCGGGGGCUUCUUAUGUUCCAGAGUCUAACACUCUGGCCAGAUACCAGGGACCUUUCACCCUCAGAACCUGUGCUCACAUGUGGCAGUGAGCAGUGCCUGCACCUCAAGGCACCGCAUCUUCCCAGCUACAGUGGGCCUGGCUGCUCCAGCUGCGCCCAACAUGUGUUAGUAGGGGAAUUAAAUACCCCUCUCACUCCCAGUUUUGUGUAUUUAAAAAAUCCUCGGAAGAGAGUGGUAUAUGAGGUUUGAGGCUUAUCAGCAGCUGCAGCAGCACAGGCCACGUCGUAGCUGUGAGUCAUAGACAAGCAUGCACACUGUGGCUGCCUGAGGCCUCUGAGCUGCCUUCCUCAGUCCUUCCCUCUGCAGGGCUUGGGCGUGGCGAGGCGGCUUCUUCAGCAAGUGCUGCGGUCAGCGUAGCGGGAUUCAGAGUGCAGCUUGUCUGAGUGUCCUCUGCUUCAAGUUCACCUCGGCUGUCAUCCCCCAGCAGACCACACAUGCCCAGGGGAAUGACCCUUUCUUACCACUGCGUCUUCAGACUGGGGUUGCUUUCUCUCCAUCUCACCUUCUCCUGUACCACCUGAGGUACUAAAUCUUCCAGGAAACCUUCCUUGAAUGUCUUCUGACAUCCCAGUGAGGGGCUCCUGAUAUUCACUUCCAUAGUGCUUUGGUCACCUACUGCAGCAUAAAACCACUCCAAAUUGAAUUGCUUUGCUCACAAUUGCACAGGCCAGGGAUUUGGGCAGGGCUUGGCUAGGCGCUUUUCACAAGGUGGGUCUCCUUUGUGGAUGCUGUUUGAUGCUGUCCUCUGAAGCCUCCACUGGAGGCUGGAGCUGCCUGUCCAAGCUGGUGGCCUGACACUGCUGCGGGGAGGCACAGGUGGCACUUUGAUGAAAGCACCUACACGUAGCCUGUCUCUGUGGCUGGGGCUCUCUCACGGCGUGGUGCCUGGGCUCUGAGAGAGGGGGUCCUGAGAGCAAGUGCUCCAGGAGACACAGCCGAAGCCACGGAGCUCGCUGUGGCCUGGUCUGGAACUUUCACACACCACAAAUGCUGCAUUUCUGUUGGGUCAAAUGUGUCACAUAAGUCUGCACAGACUCGGAAGGAGGAGACUUACAGCACCAUGCUGUGGCAGGGACAGCAAAGACUGUGUGGCCACGCUUCCUCUAUCAUGCGUGGCCAGGGUCUUCCCCACCACGACUCCUCCCCUAGGCUGUGCCAUCUCACAGGGCUGCCUCCAAGCACAUGCCUUCCCCAGCACCACACUCAGUGCUGGCCCUGUGAACACAUCUGUGGGACUGAUGGAGUAGAAACCUGCUUCAGCAAAAGUCGGGGAGUGGCAAACCUGGGAAUGUAGAGAAGCACUCUGUGUGCAACACGUAUUUCUUACGUACGCAAUGAUGGCUGAAGUCCAUGCGGAGUUUAUCACUACUGGUCAGUUUCAGAGUGUAGGUCAGAACCCGUGAGCCUUCCUUGCCAGAACAGUUUGGAGUGUCACACGAGGACUUCAGCCUGGACACCAGAACCAGGUGGGCAGUGGGGCCCAUCACGUGCCACUGUAGUGUGAAGGGACAGGGUCUGCCUGCUGGUCUGCCCAGGGAGAAGAUACUCCUAGCUCUUCAGGCUCCUACUCAAUCCCCUGACAGCACCCCUUAGCGAAAAGGCACCACCCUCGGCGUCAAGCGCAUCUCUGAAUGAGGGUCAUGGUGAGCUUGUGUUAGGAAAAUAGCUCUCUUGCCAAUACGCAGGCAAAGUAAGCUUCUGCAAUUCUCAAAGUCCCGAGUUUGCAGAAUUUUAUUUACAGCAAAAUGUUGGUUUACCCACAAACAUCCUGCUUGGCUAAAUAUAUCUCCUGCUCCUAGAACAGGACCUGUGGUUUUCAAGCAUGGGUUUUGGCCUCCCUUCAGCAUGCUGGCAUGCAUGUGCCCUGCUCUUUCUCCUGUGAUCAUCGGCAUGAUAGGAGGCGAGUGAGGAACUCAGUGUCUUCUGACACAGGCAUCUCACAACACCAGUGCAGCCGGACCGUUGUCUGGAGAGGUGCCCGAUGAGCUCCCAGUCAUGUGGUUCAGGGCGGGCUCUGGAAGACUCACAGAGGAGACUCCUCCGAGAAACCAAGAAGGUUUCUGUCCAAGUCGGGAUCUGCUCUGCUCAGGAUGCUCCUCCAACACACACAGUGAAAAACUGAGCACCUAGAGAGCAACACCAAAAACCCAUGGCCAAUAAUGGAGAGCCAAAUCAGGAGAGCAUUCAGCAAAGCAAUUCUUGCUGUAGAAGGAACAGCACAAAAAGCUGGAAGGAAACUGAGGCAUGCGUGAAAGAUAACUUGUCAGUGUUUGCAGUCUACUGAGAUCCCCGCUGCAAGAAAAGGCAGGAUUUCCACUUGCUUCUUGGCCCGCCUCUGUUGUCCAGAAUCCAGGACAGGUGACAAGAGAAGCAGAUGUGAUCUGCACAAGCUGGCUCAGCUGGGUUGGGAGUUGCUCUUCCUGGACAGGCCGGGAAGGGUGCUGGAGGGGAGGGAGGAGGAGAGAGGUUUUAGGGGAGGGGUGCUGAGCAGUCAGGGACCUGUAAGGUCACAUUUCUUUCAGGUAUUCUUUCUAGGUGUACUGAAUGGGAACAUUGUCUGUCAUCCCUAGACUGCAUUAAAGACCUAAACUGCUUCCAUUUA
rnacentral:lncRNA from 1 species